CUUACUUCUGAUCUGCAAUAUUUUUGGUAAAGUGAUUCAAGGAUUGUACAUGGAGAUUAUCUAUAAGGCUUAUGUCCCGUACAGGGAGAUUAUCUUAUGGGAUAGGCAUAUCAGCUACCGUUCAGACAUAGCAGUGAUGAUUUUUGCAGAACCACAUGCCGAUGGUGCACUUGCCUUUGGAAUUAAAGAUCAGCUUACAACACUAACCAGAGAUCAUAUAUAAAUACUCGACUCUACAGCAGUAUGAAGGGGUGAGCUAAUUAUGUUGUCACUGUGUUUCACACUUUUCUGUCAUAGUUUGCGUCUAAUUUCCCUACAGA